rnacentral:rRNA from 1 species
UGAAUACGAGAUGCUACGGCGUCGAAGCAGUGUAUGUCAUACUUCCAAGAAAAGCUCGCUAUGUCAUAAACAAUUAAUGCCUGUACCAUAACCGACACAGGUGGGUAGGUAGAGUAUACUAAGGGGCGCGAGAUAACUCUCUCUAAGGAACUCGGCAAAAUGACUCCGUAACUUCGGGAGAAGGAGUACCUUAUUUAUAAGGUUGCAAUAACAAGAUCCAAGCAACUGUUUACCAAAAACACAGGUCUCCGCUAAGUCGUAAGACGAUGUAUGGGGGCUGACGCCUGCCCAGUGCCAGAAGGUUAAAGAAGUUGGUUAGCAUUCGCGAAGCUGAUGACUGAAGCCCUGGUGAACGGCGGCCGUAACAAUAACGGUCCUAAGGUAGCGAAAUUCCUUGUCGGGUAAGUUCCGACCCGCACGAAAGGCGUAAUGAUUUGGAUACUGUCUCGGAGAGGGGCUCGGUGAAAUAGACUUGUCUGUGAAGAUGCGGACUACCUGCACCAGGACAGAAAGACCCUAUGAAGCUUUACUGUAACUUGAGAUUGAAAUUGGACUUUAUUUGUGCAGUAUAGGUGGGAGGCGUUGAAGAAAUUCUUGCGGGAAUUUUGGAGCCAUCAGUGAGAUACCACCCCUAUAAUGUUAGAUUUCUAACUUUGUAUCAUUAUCUGGUCAAAGAACAGUUUCAGGCGGGCAGUUUGACUGGGGCGGUCGCCUCCCAAAUGGUAACGGAGGCGUACAAAGGUUUCCUCUGAACGGGUAGAAAUCGUAUCUAGAGUAUAAAGGCAUAAGGAAGCUUGACUGUGAGACCUACAAGUCGAGCAGGGACGAAAGUCGGUCUUAGUGAUCUGACGGUGCUGAGUGGAAAGGCCGUCACUCAACGGAUAAAAGUUACUCUAAGGAUAACAGGCUGAUCUCCCCCAAGAGUUCACAUCGACGGGGAGGUUUGGCACCUCGAUGUCGGCUCAUCGCAUCCUGGGGCGGUAGUACGUCCCAAGGGUUGGGCUGUUCGCCCAUGAAAGCGGUACGCGAGCUGGGUUCAGAACGUCGUGAGACAGUUCGGUCCAUAUCCGGUGUAGGCGUUAGAAUAUUGAGAGGAGCCUUCUUUAGUACGAGAGGACCGAGAAGGACAUACCUCUGGUGUACCAGUUAUCGUGCCAACGGUAAACGCUGGGUAGCUAUGUAUGGAGUGGAUAACCGCUGAAAGCAUCUAAGUGGGAAGCCCACCUCAAGAUAAGUAUUCUCAU